UCGUUGUCACCAGAGAAAAACUACCCCGAGUAACAGUUUUCUCUUAUUGCCUUAACUGUUUUAUUUGCGUAUAACCAACCUGUAUGUAACCAUGUGAGAAAGUGAGGUGAUUUAAAUCGAGCGAACCUUUAAGACAGAGUAGGCUCCUCGCCAUGCUACGAGUACCGAGUGCCUUUCCUGCCAGAAAGUUGUAUCUUGAACCAACCUGCAAUGUACUUGAGCAGUUUAGACACUGAAAAACUAGUGUCUAGGCACCUGUGUUUCGUAGCCUUGAGGAAGCUGAUUUAUAAAAUCGUGUGCAUUUGAAGUCCUGGCAGCCUCCUUGUUCGCAUCAUCUUUGCCGUAAAGUAUGUUUUGCGCGAUGGUGGUAGCGAACAAAGCUGGUUCUUGGUUGACGAGACCAAUCUGUGACCGGAGCCAUUUUAAUUGUAGAGAUUUGGUGUUGUAACCAUCCAAGAGAAUUUCUCCUGUAGAAGUAUAAAACUCAGAAAAGAAAUAUAAAUUCACCUGAACUUGUGUCAUAAAACCUUUCAAUGAGAGAUAUUAUCGUGCUCUUCCCCGAGCCACUGGGGCAAACAAUGCCUAUCGAUUUUCCAGGCGGUAUCUUGAGGCUCAGGUCGUGAAGAAUUCGAGCAUCUGGCCUGGAGGGAUAGUUGAAGGUAACUUUAUUCAUCUCAAGCUCUCCACGGACGUGUUGAAGACAAAAUUCCGUUGACUCUUCACUGUUACUGAUCGUAUUCUUGUCGUCUAAAGUUUCGCACUAUGAGAAAAACGUUUAGCAUCAGAACUCAAAACAUAGUCGAUAACAGUAACUUACAAGGCGCCUAAGAGCACGCAAAAUAUUGUAGAUAGAGCACUUGUCGUGCCGUUUCUUACGAGAAUGCCACCGUACCACAUCAGUAAGGCCCAGGAACACAAGGGCAACGUGCACAUUGCUCCCAUUCCAAUCCCUUUGGCACGUCCUGCUCGAUCCCGGACGUAGCGUAGAACCGAGAGCAAUGGUGUACAGACCGAUCGUUGUUUGCUCGCCAAGGAACGAACAGACUCUCCGAAUUUGAGAAAUUGCCUGCAAUGGAGGUACUUUCGAUUAAAAAGAUUUGGUCUGGAAGUCUACGUACUGAUGUUCCUUCUGGCUCCUGGAUGAAACGCCAGUGAUGACAUGAGCAUAGAGACCUCCAGCCAGAAUGACCACCGGUACGGCUGCCAGCCUCAAAAGUCCGAGCUGCCACACAGUUCCAAAUCCCAUCCAAAAAACGUGGAAUUGUGAUGAAUGAGGACUCCCAUCUAUGAAAGCAAAAGAGAGAGAGCUUACUUUCUCGCUUAUGGCCUGCUGAAUGACCAAAGUGUUGGAGGAAAUGCUGCUAACGAGCUCUCCAGUUCUCGCAUCGGCACCAUCGAAGAACGAGAUAUCGUGCCGCCGAUCCUGAUCUUCCUGCAUUGCUGCUCUCCGGUCUGGAUCCAGCACGCAACACCCAGAGCCAAGAAUCCCUUCAAAUGUGUCAAGAACAAAAUCCCUCUACCUAUCCAAGACCUGCCAAAGAGGAUCAAUCCCAGACACAGGAAAUCCAAUGCCACCUGAUCGAUCGCGAGCAGCACAGCACGAUCAUGAAAUCCGGCUCGAAAUAUCACGCUGUGAUACAUGUGCCGAAGAUCCCUGUCCGAUCCAAGAACAUGAGCCAAUCGUCCGAAGGAGAAGAAGGAAAUCGGCAGCGCCAGGCCGUGCGCGAUGGCGCCGAGCGAUCCCAGCGCCAUGAGCAAGUGGUUGCAUCGAUCGGCACAGAAGAAGAGCUUGUGGAGCGGCGCCAAGGAUGAGGGCGCCCCAUUGUUAUAGAGCCCUAAAGAUUUGGAGCCACUGGCAUUUCCAGUUACACUUGUCAUUUACAUUUCUGCUACUCAUUGCUAUUUAGACGUAUGGAACGAUUAAAAAAGAAAGAGCGUUCUAGCUCAAGAAAAAGAAGAACGAUCGAAGAAUUCUCUAAAGCUUUUGGCGAAUGGUUUUUAAUAACUUUGAUUUUUGAAAAAAUAUAAAUUUUGCUUAAUAUAUUAUAUUAAUCAAUUAAUUUCUGAAUCUAUUAAGAAAUCUAAAAUUUUGCGAAAAGGGAAAUUGAUAUGAAGUCAAAUAAAUACUCAUCAUACGGUUGUGAAUAUAAAGAUAAACCACAUUUUUCUUUAAUGAUUAUAUGCUAAAACAAAAUUCAAGCCUUUAGUGGCUAUUUUAUCUUCAUUUAUCCCCCAAAUUUUAAGGAUCACAAUAUAUCAAAAUCUCAUCCCUGCUUGAAUAUUCUAGGAUAUAAUGGUUGUCAUUCAUUUAGAUGAAUCUUGUAUUUAUAAUUUAUAAACAUGUAUAUAAUUUAUAAACUUGCUUAAACACUUUUUAGUAUAAUUUUUUUAGUAUGGUUGAUAUGUAAUAAAAUUAAUCUUGUGUUUAUAAAUUAUAAAUAUGUUUAUAAUUAUAAACUUGUAUUUGAUCAAUUGGAUUAAUAAGUAGGAAUAAUACUAUUAUUAAGCAAACCAAGUGUUGCUACAUGCAAUGCAUAACAAUUUAUUCUAUACUUUAGAAUGUUAAAUAGAAAUCAUCCAAAUUGUAGAGGUAAUGGAUUAUUUUGGGAUAUUUUGCCAUUUAAAGGUUAUUAUUCAUUUAAAUAAAUCUUUUAUUUAUAAUUUUAAAAAUUUCUAAAUAACUUUUAGUAUAUUCUAAUUUAUUUUAUCUGAUGGUUAAUAUGUGAUAAGAUUAGUUUUGUGUUUAUAAAUUAUUAACAUGUUUCAAAUUAUAAACUUCCAAUUGAUCAAUUAUAUUAAUAAAUAAUAAGCACUCUUCCAAAGAGGGGAUAAGGAGGAUAUAGAAAACCAAUGGAGUGAGUUUAACUUCCUAUAUAUGGUAUUAAAUGAGAAUAAAAAUUGUAAAUUCAAGUUAACAUAUGUCUCUCGAAAGUUAACUAAAAGGAAGAUACAAAUGUAAGUUUUGCUAAUGGUUGUGAGUCUAGAUUAACAAUGAUCUUGAAGGAUGGAUAGAUAUAUCACUUAUUACAAUGGUGUUUUUUGGAUCAAAUGGUCUCGAAGGAUGGAUGGAUAUAUCAUUUCCUACAAUGGUGUUUUUUGGAUUAAAGUUUUUUAUUUUAGUUCAAAAUUAUAGUUUCAAGGUUGAUUUAAGCAUUUAGUAGUUGUAUAUAAAGUUAUAAUUGGUUCAUCAAAAUUACAUAGUUAACUUAUGUUUGUGCCAUGGCUUUGGGUUAUGUUUAUAUCAUAAUUGUUAACAAUUACAUAAGUAGUUUUGUAGGAGUUUCAAGUUCUUGUGGCAAUUUAUAAUCACUUUACUACAACUCUAAAUGUUCCACUUAACACUUUUCAUCUUACAAGGAAGAAUGAUGUAAAAUGUAUAAAUAUAUAUACAAUAAAUUAAUCGUAGUAUUAUAGCAUAUGGAUAAUUUAUUUGGGACUAAAUUCUUGCAUAUAUAAGUAUAGGUCUAAACCUAAAUUAAUAUACUUAUCCCAUAAUUUUAUGGUUUAUCAAUUAUUAGAUAGUAAAAUAAACUAGGAACUGUUUGGGAAAGUUUAUAAAUUAUAAACAUAUUUAUAAAAUAAAUAUAAAAUUAAUCUAAAUGAAUAUUAACUAUUAAAUGGUAAAAUAUUCUAAAAUAUUUAAAUAUAUCUUAAGUAUAUCCACUACCAUUAUUAUACCUUAUUAACCAUAGGAUGUGAUACAAAAUUGGCAAUGGAACUUUGUGUUGGACUUAAUUGUUUAGCCUUGUCUCAACUACAUAAACUACUUGUCAUAUAAAUGUGGUAAUAAAGCCUUUGAGACCUGAGAAAUUUAAAAAUUCUAAUAUAAAGACUUCUGACACAUAUGUCAUAGAAGGCCUUGUAGUCCAAAACCAUGCACUUCUUGGCAUUCUCGACAAGCUAGUGCACAGACAGCAUUGCAUUGUAUGGCUCCACCACUGUGUCUGACACCUUCGGGGACGGGAACACGGCAUCAUCCUGUCUGGGUACUCCUCUUGAAGCUUUGAUCUCUCUGGAAGGAGUGUGAAGGCACUGUUGCGAUUCUAGUUUCUUAAUCUACUUCUCUUCUUUGCAGUGAGCCAGUCUCUCCUUGAAGAACUCUCCGAUAUCAGAGUGACUUAUCAGCAGGACACGAGCACACUCGGCUUAACAGCCGGGUGAUCAGGGACUCCAUCAGAUGCAGGGCCUUCUCGCGGUCAUAGUUGUUAUCUAACAUUCUGAGCUCGAGUGAUAGACAUCACGAAUUUCACCACUAUCAUCAGUCUUCGAGGGUGUUGAUGGUGUAGUUCUUCUUCCCGGUCCUGUAAUAUCCUGUGAAGUAUUCGAAUUCGAUAAACUCCCGUGGGCUCGAUCCCAUGCUCGUCACAUAUCACUUCCGGCGCCAAUCUGGUUGCCACACUGGCCUCCCUGUACGUGGACAAUCUCUCUCAUUUCUUUCCGUGCUCUUGGUUCUUCUUCUUCUGUUUGUCGAUCCAGCUGAAGGGCCUGACGACACUGUGGUAGUUCAUACCGUUAAUGUGGAGGAAAACAACAAUUUAUGUAACGUGAGGUGAUUUAAAUCGAGCGAACCUUUAUGACGAUGACUGGAGCUUGAUGAGCUGAGCGUAGGCUCCUCGCUUGGCUACGAGCUCCGAGUGCCUUCCCUGCUCCACAAUCUCACCGUCAUGCAGCACGGCAAUCUGGUCGGCACUGCAAAUCGUAGAUAGCCUGUGCGCCACAACCACUGUCGUUCUCUCCUCCAUCAGCCGCUCAAGAGCUUCCUGGACAGUUCUCUCAGACUCGGCGUCUAGAGCACUCGUGGCUUCGUCCAGCAAUAGUAUUGCAGGAUUUUUGAGAACGGCUCGUGCAAUUGCUACCCGCUGCUUCUGACCACCUGGAGAUCAAUGAAUGAUGUAGUGCUUCGUUUUAGAAUCAGACAAAAGUUGUCGACGUACCUGAAAGUUGGACACCUCGCUCACCAACGUUUGUAGCGUAUCCAUCGGGAAGGCUGCUAAUAAACUCGUGGGCGUUGGCUGCCUUUGCAGCAGCCACAAUCUCGGCUUCCGAAGCACUCUCUUUUCCGUAGGCGAUGUUCUCGCAAAUGCUCGUUCCAAAAAGAGCUGGUUCUUGUUGCACUAGACCAACAUGACGCCUGUACGCCUUGACGUUGAGCUUUUUGACAUCUCUGCCGUCCACAAGAACCAUCCCCUUGAAAGGAUCAUAGAACCUUUCCACCAAUGCAAUAACCGAGCUCUUCCCGGAGCCGCUGGGACCGACCAAAGCCAAACUCCGUCCAGCUCGAAUCUUCAAGUUCAGGCCAGCAAAGAUAGCUACCUCGGGUCUCGACGGAUAUGCAAAGUGAAUGUCUCGGAGUUCUAUAUCACCCCGGAGUUUAAUGAGCUUUCGUGACCUUGGACCGUCCAAAUCUAUUUCCGUUGCUCUGUCCAGCAGCUCAAACACUGAUUUGAAUGACUUUGCCGUCUUGGAAAUGUCCGGAAGCAUUGCUAGACUGUCUGCGAUGGGAAAUGCCGCCAUGACGAGGACGAGAAAAGCUUGCAGAACGUUUGCGGGGCUUGAUUUGCUUGCUUUGACGAGGACGGCACCGUACCAAAGGCCGAGACCAUAGGACCCGAACAGAGACAGAGUCGAGAAUCCAUAGCCGAGUCCCACAAUGCUUCCAUGAAACAAGCUGCGUUUAGCCGGGGUCUGAAGCUCCAAAGUAACUAAGUUGACGAGUUUCUUUUCUGCGUUGAAUGCUGCUAUAGUUCGAAUAUUGCUCACAGCAUCUCCGGCCAGCAUGCUUGCCCGAGAAUGAGAUCUUUCCAGAUCUCCAGCCAAUCCUUGAAGGAACAAUUUCUAAGGGAGAGCAUUGUGUCAGUAAAGCAAACAAUGUAAAAGGCCAGCUCACCUGCGCAAAGGUCGACAAUACAAUAAACGGAAAAGUUGCGGCCACGACAAUUGCUACUCGCCACUCCACCAAAAAAGCUAUGGCGAACGAAGCAACUAUCACAGCGACGUUUUGAACCAUUGAACCUAGUAUAUCUCCACUUGCAGAUUUCAUGUACACGGCAUCAGAAGCCAAACGAGAGGCAAGCUGGCUGCUUGAAUGCUCUUCUCGAUCAAACCAGCUUAUCUCAUUGCGUAAAAUACCUGCAUCACAGAGGUUGUAAGACAUGAUACUGAACAUAACUAAGGAUGGUGCUUACCCGAUAGCAUCAUUUUUCUUACGCGCAUCGUCAAGUUUUCCCCAGCAAUCCCAAAUGAGUAGUACUGUACAAAAAGGGCAACAAAUGCCCCCACAGCAACCAUGACGAAGACCACGCUGUACUUUGCUGUGUGCCGUUUCAUUUCUUCGAAGUCCUGAUAGUAGUAGACGUCGAGAAUUUUGGAGACGAGGAAUGAGUAUGCCGGAUUAGGAAGGCCCGAACACACAGCUCCAAUCGUACCAAGAACCAAGAACGGCAAAUCUGGUAAGUUGAUUGUCACGAACUUCUUCAGAACAUCAUCGGCCUCGACAUUUUCCUCGUCUUCCCUUGAGGUAAAACUUAGACCGUUCAGUUUUGACAAUCUGAAGCUGCCACCGGUGCUGGAAUUUAGAUCAUCCACACUCGACAACCUACGAAAGCUGCUCGAGGAGCAAUUAGAAAGCCUGCAUGAAAUAGUUCACUUAAUAAGCUCAAAGUGAACUAUGUGUACUUUACCUUGAGGUAGCUUCCGUUGUUCUGGCUUCCUCAAGCCGAACAAGUCCCGAAUAUACAGAUUUUUCGUCGGCAAUAAGCUGUUGGUGCGAUCCGGUUUCCACAAGCCUUCCAUUUUGAAGCACAGCAAUGGAAUCGGUGCCUUUGACAGUACACAACCUGUGUGCUAUAAUAACUGUCGUUCUUGCCACCAUGAUUUUGUCGAGUGCGUCUUGUACCACAUUCUCGGACUCAGCAUCUAAAGCACUAGUUGCCUCAUCCAACAACAGUAUCGCUGGAUUUCUGACCAAUGCUCUAGCUAUGGCUAUCCUCUGCUUUUGGCCUCCAGAAAGUUGUAAGCCUCUUGAACCAACCUGCAAUGUACUUGAGCAGUUUAGACACUGAAAAACUAGUGUCUAGGCACCUGUGUUUCGUAGCCUUGAGGAAGCUGAUUUAUAAAAUCGUGCGCAUUUGAAGUCCUGGCAGCCAGCUUUAUCUCCUCCAUGUUCGCAUCAUCUUUGCCAUAAAGUAUGUUUUGCGCGAUGGUGGUAGCGAACAAAGCUGGUUCUUGGUUAACGAGACCAAUCUGUAACCGGAGCCAUUUUAAUUGUAGAGAUUUGGUGUUGUAACCAUCCAAGAGAAUUUCUCCUGUAGAAGUAUAAAACUCAGAAAAGAAAUAUAAACAAAGAAGCAAUUCACCUGAAGUUGGGUCGUAAAACCUUUCAAUGAGAGAUAUUAUCGUGCUCUUCCCGGAGCCACUGGGGCCAACAAUGCCUAUCGAUUUUCCAGGCGGUAUCUUGAGGCUCAGGUCGUGAAGAAUUCGAGCAUCUGGCCUGGAGGGAUAGUUGAAGGUAACUUUAUUCAGCUCAAGCUCUCCACGGACGUGUUGAAGACAAAAUUCG
rnacentral:lncRNA from 1 species